rnacentral:lncRNA from 1 species
UACAAUUUACUGGUGGGUUUCUUUUGGUAUGCUUGUUUAAACAUGCUUAAUGGGUAUUUUGGUCGUUUUCAUAUGGUUGGUUGAUUUAGUUGGUAAUUGGUUAUUCCAGUGCAGGUCAGAGGAGGAGCUCUCUGAACUAAAAGGUUAGUUAGUUACUUAAUUGUGUCAAUGUUUUAAUGCAUAAGCAUGUAAAUAAAUGAUGAAAAGAUUGUGUUUUGGAGUAGUUACCUUUGGAAAUGCUUGUUUUGUGCUGAGGUUUUCAGCACUGCUGAUUGAACUGAUUUGUGUAGGGACUCAACUGCUGAACUCAACACUGAGUCUGAAGG